UCACUCUCUAUCCAAUCAAACUGGCACUUGGACUCCAUUAAAUCACCAUUAAAUUCCCAUUAAAUGCACUUACCAGAUACCCAAGAAAUAGCAGUAUCCAAAACGAAAAAGUCAAAACCUUUGUCUACUAUUCUUUAUUUUCCAGGAACCUCCCCCUCUCCAAACUCAAUCUAGGGUUCCUCAUCUUUUCCUCUCCUCCGCACUGAAUACAAAAUCUAGGACUCCACUCAGUUGGCUUUCUUUAUUGUUGUCAAUGAGUCUUCUUCAAUUAUCACACACUGUAUCCCCAUGCGAAUGCCUAGUCGCAGUGCCUGACACACGCUUGACCUUCAGCAGCAAACGAAGAAGAGGUUGCUUAAUUUAUGGCCCACGACCAUGGAAGCUAAUAUUUCCCCCAGUGGGUUCCUCACCACUACCCCCGACCCGAAUCUUGCAUACUGGGGAUCAUAGGCCCCAUCAAAGUUAAUCUUAAAGAAAGGUUCAUGAGGGGGGGUUCCCACUUAUCAAAAUCUCUCGUUCGGAUCAAGAAAAACAGAAUUCGGAUCAGGAUCGGGGAAAAACGAAAGUUAUCGACUAAUUGGCUCGAUUCGCCGUUUUAAAUCUAAGCUAGCUUGGAUUUGGGGAUCGUCAGAGAAUACGUCACACUAUCCAACCAUCACUUUGAUACUUUUGAGCUUAUGGUUUAGUCAUAUGGCAUGUAUAGGAUAUUGGUCAUCUUGGUUACGUUUUGGUAGUGAGUUUUGCCAUUUGAGAUGGCUUGUGAAUGGCUAUGUUUUGGUUUGUAUAUAUAUAUAGUUGUGAGACUUGGAUUAAUUUGGCUAGCUUGAUAAUGUAUAUAUAAGUGUGCUUAUGGCUUAUAUUAUAGGGUUUGUGGAAUUGGUAUCAUGCUUGUGAAUUGGAACAAAAUGAUGUGUGUUUGGUAAA